UGGGGAAUUUUGCACAAUGGGGGAAACCCUGAUGCAGCGACGCCGCGUGAUUUAGAAGGCCUUCGGGUUGUAAAAAUCUUUUCUAUGGGAAGAAAAUGACAGUACCAUAGGAAUAAGGACCGGCUAAUUACGUGCCAGCAGCCGCGGUAAUACGUAAGGUCCGAGCGUUGUCCGGAAUCAUUGGGCGUAAAGGGUACGUAGGCGGGUAAGCAAGUUAGAAGUGAAAUCCUAUAGCUCAACUAUAGUAAGCUUUUAAAACUGCUCAUCUUGAGGUAUAGAAGAGAAGUUGGAAUUCCUAGUGUAGCGGUGAAAUGCUCAGAUAUUAGGAGGAAGACCGGUGGCGAAGGCGACUUUCUGGCCAUAACCUGACGCUGAGGUACGAAAGCGUGGGUAGCAAACAGG
rnacentral:rRNA from 1 species